rnacentral:rRNA from 1 species
ACACCUGGAAACAGAUGCUAAUACCGGAUAACAACAGAUGAUGCCUAUCAACUGUUUAAAAGAUGGUUCUGCUAUCACUCUUGGAUGGACCUGCGGUGCAUUAGCUAGUUGGUAGGGUAACGGCCUACCAAGGCGAUGAUGCAUAGCCGAGUUGAGAGACUGAUCGGCCACAUUGGGACUGAGACACGGCCCAAACUCCUACGGGAGGCAGCAGCUA